rnacentral:lncRNA from 1 species
UUUUUUUUUUUUUUUUUUUUUUUUUGGUCUUUUUAGGGCCACACACACGGCAUAUGGAAGUUUUCAGGCUAUGCGUCAAAUUGGAGCUACAGCUGCUGGCCUACGCCAGCCACAGCAAAGUGGAAUCCAAGUUGCGUCUUCAGUCUACACCACAGCUCACAGCAAUGCCAGAUCCUUAACCCACUGAGUGAGGCCAGGGAUCAAAUCCACGUCCUCAUGGAUCCUAGCUGGGUUCUUAACACGGUGAGCCACAACGGGAACUCUUGGUUCUGCUUUAUUUAUUCCUCUUUUUAGGGCUGCACCCACGGCAUGUGGAAGUUCCCAGGCUAGGGGUUGAAUUGGAGCUACCGCUACCGGCCUAAACCACAGCCACAGCAAUGCCAGAUUCGAGCUGCAUCUGCGACCUACACCACAGCUCACCCCAACGCUGAAUCCUUAACUGAGUGAGGCCAGGGAUCAAACCUAUGUCCUCAUGGAUACUAGUCAGAUUCGUUUCCACUGAGCCACGAAAGGAACUCCCGGGUUCUGACUUUAAAUGAACUCACUGAAUCUGAAAACCCCUAAGGAGUGUCAUUAACCCCCUGUACAGAUAAGAAAACUGAGGCACUGAGGGGCAGUCACCCGCCCAAGGCCACAGUGCUAACAAGUGUCAGCUACCACGAUGCUCAUAUGCCAAAGGCCAGGGUGACUUUUCUGGAAGGACUCAAGCCAGCCCAGUCUGGAAACUUGUCUUGUGAGUGAGGAGAAAAGCCCUCAACGAACUGGCAAAUAGAUGUGAUGCUGAGGAGCACAGACAGGCCGAACUCUGUGUCACUCCCUCAGCACUUACUGGGGCUCCAGAGGCCCAGGCCUUGCCAGACUUGGGGUUACCAGGCCUGGUUUGGGGUGCAGGUAAAAAGUGGGCAAUCGUACCAUGGAAGUGGGGAAGCUGAACCCCAGGGUGAGUUACCCAGAAAGUAGGCAGGUUGGGGGGUGGGGUGGUCAGGCCCCAAAGGACCUCAUGGGGCAUCCCCAGGAGCCAGGACUUUGUCUGCAGAUGAAGGGAACCUUCUGGAAUGCUUUCAGCAGGGCAAGAGCAUGCUCAGAUGGGCUCCUCAGAGGAGCCUCACAGCCUGCAGAAGGGCAGGGAGACAGGAGACAGUGGCUGCCACUGCUUCAGUCUUUCAGGGAAAGGUCAGGGUCAAGGGCACAGAUCCUGGAGCCAAGCCACCUAGUUUGAACCCUGGCUCAGCUGCUUUUUCUGCUUGUCUUGGGCAAGUUACUUGGAUGCUUCUUUGGUUUUAUUUGUUUGUUUUUCUGUCAGUAUCCUCAUCUGAAAAACAGGCUUGUCUGACAGGGUGUGGUCAGGCUAACCAUACUCGGUGAAACCUGGAGAUAGUGCCUGGGACAACUAUGGAAGGUCAGCUUCUCUUAGCUGUUAAGAUGGUGGCGGGCUGGCAGUGAUGGGUAUGCACUGACAUCCAGACUACAAAUUCAAUUUAAUAGAUACAGGACUAUUCAGAUCCUCUAUUUCACUAAAAGUCAGUUUUACUAAGUUGCAUUCAUUUCACCUAAGCCAUUUGAUUACCAGAAUAAAAUUGUUUCUGCCCCAUCCUUUCAAUGUCCGUAGCACCUGCAGUGGAAUUCCCUUCUUCAUCCCUAACACUGGGAACCUGUGUUUUUUUCAAUCUAGGGUGUUCUCAAUUUUAUUGAUGUUUUCCAAGAAACACUUUUUGGCUUUGUUAGUUUUCACUAUUUAUUUCUUGUUCAUUAAUUAUACUCUCAUCUGCAUUCUCUCCUUUCUUCUUUAGGAUUUUUUCCUCUAGCUUCCCAUGGUCACUGAUCUUGAACCCAUUUUCUUUCCCAACAUGAGCACGGAAGCUAGAGGUGUCACUCUGAACACUGCUUUAGCAGCACUGCACACAUUCUAUAGGGUGAGUUUUCAUUUGCUUUGAAUUACUUUCUAGUAAAAUCCCAUUUGGAGGGACAAUUAGGAGGUGGAAGCAAAGGCCUGGCCUGGGCUGGGGGAGUGAGCAGUGGAAGAUGUCUCCCUGUUUCUGGUUUGAUUCCCAGGGCAGCCGCCAGGCUCAUCACUGAAACCAGGGAAAGGUUUGGAGCUGAUGCAUUCUGGCUUGUUCAUGCUCAAGGAGGGGCCAUGGCAUCUGUGCAGAGUGCCUUGCUCCUGGAUAUGCAGGCCUGAUACUCAGAGGAGAGGUUCUAGGUUGACACCUGCCGGGCUUCACGGUCCUGUGUUGGGGGUUCAAACCAAGGGCUGGCUGAACAAAAGACUGAGAAAGAUAACAGGAUUAGCAGUGUGAGGAGAAAGCGAACUGGGUAGGGCACCUCUGGAUGUUCCCCAGCCUGCCUGCUCUGAGUCCCACUGGACCAGCCUGAGGCUAGUCUCAAUUGAGAAGGGCUGUAUGAGAAUGCUGCACACUGCCUUUCCAAGACUUGGUACGAAAAUAAAGCAGAAUAUUCCACUGACAAUUUUCAUAUUGAAUACAGCUGCCCCUCAGUAUCCAUGGGGGAUUGGAUGCUCAAGUCCCUUGUAUAAAAUGACGUGGCCCCACUAGCCCUCUGCACCCACAGAUACACAUAGUUAUUGGUAUAUGGAGUCAAAAUACAUCAGGAUUCAAUUUGCCUCUCCUUUUCAUGUUCCUAAUGUGGCUCACAUCACAGUCCUAUCAAAGAGCACUGCUCUAAGCUUUGCAGGCAUGGUCAGAACCUGCCUUUUAACAAGACCCCUGGGACCCCUCCCAGGGUUUGGGCUGGUGCCCCCUUCAGUCUCAGCUGCACCACCCCCUGCCAGCCCCAUCUCACCCUGGGACAGGUUUUUUGCCAAGCCCCCAGGCAAGGGCAGAUGGGCAGACAUGGCCAUUGUCUUCCUUAGACACCCCACCCCCACCUUUGGUGAGCCACUAGGAAUAAAUGUUUUUCGGUCAUUGCCACCUCUGGCUGCAGGAGGAGGGCCAGCUGGCUUUGUGGCCCAGCCAAACGCGAAUGCAGACGUUGCACAAUGCACACCUGCCUCUUCUAAUGUACUAAGGGACUGAGUCACAUUCUGUGCCUGCUACAACAGAGACUCCAUGGGUAGAGAUGACCCGCCUUGCUCAGGAAGCAGUGACUUAGGUGUUGAUGAAGUCCUCAUGCUAGGAAUGGCUGGUCCAGGGGCUCAUCCUCCCAGGGCAUCUCCAUCAUGGAGGAGCAGAGCUUGUUGGGAGUGAGUGGAUGUUCACCUGGGGAGCACUUCUGCGCUCAGGAGAGAUGCGCGAGUACAUACGUGACAUAUGGGAGACAGGUGCAUGGUGACAGACAAGCUGUCUUCCCCAGGAAUCUGCCAGCCUGAACCAGGCAUCCCGGGUGGACACUGCAUGUGGCGCGCUAACCCCCUUCAAGGACAGGGAACCUGUCGCCUCAUCAGGGUUCAUCUGCCCAUCCCACCGUGCCCCUCCCAAAGGGCUGCCCCGCCAUUCACUGAGGGGUCCC